rnacentral:rRNA from 1 species
UACGGGGGGGGUAAGCGUUGUUCGGAAUUACUGGGCGUAAAGCGCACGCAGGUGGCUGAGUCAGUCGAUUGUGAAAGCCCUGGGCUUAACCUGGGAAUUGCAGUCGAUACUACUUAGCUCGAGUAUGGGAGAGGGCAGUGGAAUUCCCGGUGUAGCGGUGAAAUGCGUAGAUAUCGGGAGGAACAUCAGUGGCGAAGGCGGCUGCCUGGCCCAAUACUGACACUCAGGUGCGAAAGCUAGGGGAGCGAACAGG